ACUUAGGGAAAGGACCCAGGUCCGGUUGGACUCUGAAGCACGGCCAGGAGCACUCCAGGCAGAGGGAAAGGGAAUACAGGUACAUUCUGACAGAAUUGAAGCACCUAAUGGGGUACACAAUAAAAAUGCAGAAAAUGAGUCUGAGAGAGAAGGUCCUUACAGAAGUCCCCUAUCCAAGAAGCAGCAGGGCCUGGAUUCAAAUGCAAGCCUGUCUCACCACAGAGCAAGCCCACAUUUUUUCCCCCCGGCAGCGGGCAACCCGCCUAGUGGUGAGUCAGUGGUGCAAACAAGCACCCAGAGACCUGCCUUUUCUCAUAUUAAUGACAUGGU